GUAAGUUCCUGGAGGACAUGGUCUAUAUGUGAGUUACAGUACAGACAAGGUUGUGUAAAGAGAACAUGUCUGAACAAAUAAGAAAUUACCCAAAAUAAAGAAAACUAGUACUUUAUUUACAUCACAGAGCGUAUCCAUCUCAAAUGGAAGGUUAAGGGUAAAGUUUUACACAGCAAAAGUUAAAUGCUUACAAUCAUACCGGUGGAGCUUGCAAAAGGACAUUAAUUGGUCCAAUCAUAUCUUCAGUCAAUCCUUAUGACAUUAAUACCUAACAAACUCAGGGAAGGCCAAGAAAACACAAGCAGACACUUACAGAAUUAAUGGGAUGUGAACAUCACAUUAUAUGAAGACAAGAUAGAAAAACCCAGGAAAUCUCAACCUGUCAUGAAGUGAGAAGGGAAAGAAUAAAUUAAAUAGUAACUCAAGGAAAAGCCCGUGCUCCAGGAUGGAGGAGGGAGAACCAAAAUCAGGGCUUGAAGACAAGGCAACAGAACUGUAUCAAUCAAAGAAAUGACAGGUGAAAGACAUGAACAAAAGCCUAAUUGCUUUCUGGCAACAAUAAUAAAAGACAAAAAUAAAAUUCAAGCCUGGAAUGGUGGGGCAAAGCAGGGCUCUACUUUUAGCACCCAGGAGGGACAGGCCAGAAGAUAUAUAUGAAGUGGAAGCUGGCUUGGUCUCCUUACUAUUUUACAGGCCAGGUGGGGCUACAUAGUGAGGCCGCCUCAGAAACAAACAAGAAUUUCAAGGUCUACUUUCUACAUUGACAUGGAACUCCUCUAAAGUAUGCCCUUUGAUAGAAUGGUGGCAUUAAUAUUAGGAGUUGGACUGUCCUAGUUAGAAUGAGAAUGUCUCCCAUAAACAUGUUUUGAACUCAAAGUCUAGUUGUUCAAAGAAUUUGGGGAAAUUUUAUUGCUGGCAUAUUAUUAAAUACAUCACUGGGAGAAGGCUCUCCUAGCUACCUUUCUUCUGUCUCCCUCCUUAGGGACUGUGGUUGCAGAUGUCAUCUCAGUUUUCUAUUGCAUCAACAUGGCUGUUUAUGGUCCAACCUCUCUGCCCGCAUGCAUUCGUAUCCCUCUAGAAGAAUUAACCACAGCAAGCUCUUUCUUACGUAUGUUAUCAUGCUUAUGGUGGUUUAUGAAAUAACAGAUGAAUAAUUCCUACAGUCAACCAUUGUCUGAUUGGAUAUAAGGCUCCCUCCAAAGCCAGCAUUAAUAUUGGUUUCUGAAACCUGGUGAGGAACACAGUGUGAUCAAUCAUGGUCACCAUAGGGGACACAACUGUAGUUUUCCAAAAAAAAAAAAAGCUCCAAUGGAAAAUUUAUUGAUAAAUACUUGCUUAAGUUGAAGGUAAUAUGCUCAUCGGUGAAUCUUCUUAUC
rnacentral:lncRNA from 1 species